GACGAACGCUGGCGGCGUGCCUAAUACAUGCAAGUAGAACGCUGAAGGAGGAGCUUGCUUCUCUGGAUGAGUUGCGAACGGGUGAGUAACGCGUAGGUAACCUGCCUGGUAGCGGGGGAUAACUAUUGGAAACGAUAGCUAAUACCGCAUAAGAGUAGAUGUUGCAUGACAUUUGCUUAAAAGGUGCAAUUGCAUCACUACCAGAUGGACCUGCGUUGUAUUAGCUAGUUGGUGAGGUAACGGCUCACCAAGGCAACGAUACAUAGCCGACCUGAGAGGGUGAGCGGCCACACUGGGACUGAGACACGGCCCAGACUCCUACGGGAGGCAGCAGUAGGGAAUCUUCGGCAAUGGACGGAAGUCUGACCGAGCAACGCCGCGUGAGUGAAGAAGGUUGUCGGAUCGUAAAGCUCUGUUGUAAGAGAAGAACGAGUGUGAGAGUGGAAAGUUCACACUGUGACGGUAUCUUACCAGAAAGGGACGGCUAACUACGUG
rnacentral:rRNA from 1 species